AACGAACGCUGGCGGCAGGCUUAACACAUGCAAGUCGAGCGCCCCGCAAGGGGAGCGGCAGACGGGUGAGUAACGCGUGGGAACGUACCUUUUGGUUCGGAACAACUCCGGGACACUGGAGCUAAUACCGGAUAAGCCCUAACGGGGAAAGAUUUAUCGCCGAAAGAUCGGCCCGCGUCUGAUUAGCUAGUUGGUGAGGUAACGGCUCACCAAGGCGACGAUCAGUAGCUGGUCUGAGAGGAUGAUCAGCCACACUGGGACUGAGACACGGCCCAGACUCCUACGGGAGGCAGCAGUGGGGAAUAUUGGACAAUGGGCGCAAGCCUGAUCCAGCCAUGCCGCGUGAGUGAUGAAGGCCUUAGGGUUGUAAAGCUCUUUUGUCCGGGAAGAUAAUGGCUGUACCGGAAGAAUAAGCCCCGGCUAACUUCGUG
rnacentral:rRNA from 1 species